UGAGGAAUAUUGCACAAUGGGCGAAAGCCUGAUGCAGCAACGCCGCGUGGAGGAUGACGCAUUUCGGUGUGUAAACUCCUUUUAUCAGUCAAGAAAAUGACGGUAGCUCAUGAAUAAGCACCGGCUAACUCCGUGCCAGCAGCCGCGGUAAUACGGAGGGUGCGAGCGUUACUCGGAGUCACUGGGCGUAAAGGACGCGUAGGCUGUCUUGCAAGUCAGAUGUGAAAUCCAAUGGCUCAACCAUUGAACUGCAUUUGAAACUGCUAGACUAGAGUAUGGGAGGGGGAGAUGGAAUUAGUGGUGUAGGGGUAAAAUCCGUAGAUAUCACUAGGAAUACCGAAAGCGAAGGCGAUCUCCUGGAACAUAACUGACGCUGAGGCGUGAAAGCGUGGGGAGCAAACAGG
rnacentral:rRNA from 1 species